CUUGGAAUACUUUCUAACAGUGUAGAAAAUCUCCUAUAUCAAAUGAAAACAUACCACCACUUUCUAAUCUUACAUGCAAAGAUAAUUUUGUCCUUGCCUUCAAUAAUGUAGAAACAUGAAACAGAACACAGAUACUUUAGGCUAACAGUAACAAAAGUCAUCAUCCCAGAAACAGUCCACUGACCACACUUUUUCAUUUCUCCUAGAGAAGAGACAAGGAAGAAAUUCUAUGAGACAGAUGUUAGUCAUGGAGAAAAAUACACCACUGGAAAAUUUUCAGAUUUGUAAAGUGAUGUAAAAAACCUAUAUAGAACAGGUUCUCAGUCUUCUGGGAAAAGCAACAGGAAAAAACAUGUCACACACUACUUAAAGAAAUACUGCUGGCCUUAGAAUUGAGAGAUGGAAAUACCAUUGAUGUCAAAAUGGAGUAGUUCUGUGAGUGAACAGAAAUAUUUUCAGAUACCAAAAUAAAACCUAUUGAGCAAAAAGCUUUCCCGAAGUGAAAGAAGCAAAGAAAUAGCUGAAGGUAUUAGCAGUGAAGAAAGAAGUAGAGCAAACAAAGGAGACAGAAAUCAUUUUCUUCAGCAGCCUGCAGAUAAGGAAAAUACGUCCUUCUUCUGCUGGAAUCUUCCUAGAUCAUUAUAAUAAACUAAUUAAUCUAAGAUGG
rnacentral:lncRNA from 1 species